CCUACGGGAGGCUGCAGUGGGGAAUAUUGCACAAUGGGCGCAACCCUGAUGCAGCCACGCAGCGUGAGCGAAGAAGUAUUUCGGUAUGUAAAGCUCUAUCAGCAGGGAAGAAAAUGGCGGUACCUGAGUAAGAAGCUCCGGCUAAAUACGUGCCAGCAGCGGCGGUACUACGUCUGGAGCCAGCGUUAUCCGGAUUUACUGGGUGUAAAGGGAGCGCAGGUGGCUUUGCAAGUCUGAUGUGAAAUCCCGGGGCUCAACCCCGGAGUUGCAAUUGAUACUGUGAGGCUGGAGUGUCGGAGAGGCAGGCGGAAUUCGUGGUGUAGCGGUGAAAUGCGUAGAUAUUAGGAGGAACACCAGUGGCGAAGGCGGCCUGCUGGACGAUGACUGACGCUGAGGCUCGAAAGCGUGGGGAGCAAACAGGAUUAGAUACCCCAGUAGUC
rnacentral:rRNA from 1 species